GAAAAUGGGAAAAGGGUUCUUGUACAUCUGGAUAUAAACAUGGCAUCAGUCAUCAUCUCAAGAGGAUGGAGAGGAUGAACUCGAGAGCUCCAGAUUAGAGGCUCCAUUGUCCUUGUUCAGUGACAAGCAGAUCAAGGACAUCACACCAAAUCAAGAGUAUCUAAGACACAAUUAAACAAUACCAACUGUACCAACUCCAUGUACCAAUACCAACUCCAUUUCAACUGGGGAUCCUGGUUCAUAUGCUGUGGACAUAAUUAGACUCCAAGCUCCAUGAGCCUACUCUUUCUGGGCCUUGAAAAAGGGAGUGUUAUAGCUGGCGAUGCAGGCCUGAGCCAUUGGAUUUAAACAAAAAUAUCGUAAUUUGUGUUCUGAAGAUGAAUGAAGGUCUUACGGGUGUGGAACGACAUUAGGGGCAGGAAUAAUUUGUUCCAUAAUUUCAACAUUCAUGCACAAAGGAGGCCAGCAUGCUAUGGCAAAUGGAGGUCUUGUUAUUUAGGGCCAGAUUUACUAAACAGGGCAAAUUAGCGUUAGAGCUUAAUUCCAUAAACAUGCCGAUAGGGAAAAUUCUGCGGCUGAUUUACUGACAAGGCACACCUUAAAGAACAGAUAGAUCAUUUUCAUAAUGAUCUCCGCCUUCUCAGUGCUAAUUCCUCACUGCAUCCCUUUAGUAAAUCCUGACAGUAGUUUUUUUUAAUGGCUGGCUUAAGCUGUUAGUAAUUCUGGCCCUUAGUCUUAUAUGUUAAAACACUGACCUAUAUAUAUAUAUAUAUAUAUAUAUAUAUGUGUGUGUGUGUGUGUGU